ACUCCUACGGGAGGCAGCAGUGGGGAAUAUUGCACAAUGGGCGCAAGCCUGAUGCAGCCAUGCCGCGUGUGUGAAGAAGGCCUUCGGGUUGUAAAGCACUUUCAGUUGUGAGGAAGGUGGUGUCGUUAAUAGCGGCAUCAUUUGACGUUAGCAACAGAAGAAGCACCGGCUAACUCCGUGCCAGCAGCCGCGGUAAUACGGAGGGUGCGAGCGUUAAUCGGAAUUACUGGGCGUAAAGCGCAUGCAGGUGGUUUGUUAAGUCAGAUGUGAAAGCCCGGGGCUCAACCUCGGAACUGCAUUUGAAACUGGCAGACUAGAGUACUGUAGAGGGGGGUAGAAUUUCAGGUGUAGCGGUGAAAUGCGUAGAGAUCUGAAGGAAUACCGGUGGCGAAGGCGGCCCCCUGGACAGAUACUGACACUCAGAUGCGAAAGCGUGGGGAGCAAACAGGAUUAGAUACCCUUGUAGCACAGAG
rnacentral:rRNA from 1 species